UUUAAGAAAACGUUCAUGGAUGGUACACUAAAGCCUUCCGUUUUAAAUGGUCAGCGGCUUGAUGUUGAAUUCAAGAUGGCGGUAAAUCCGCAGACUGGGACAAUGGAAGAGCUGGCGAGCUCAAAAUAUAUUAAGCAUUGGCGAUA